AUGGGGUGCCUUAUGGGGGCUCUGGGGGGUGGGGGUGCCCUAUGGGGUGCCCUAUGGGGUGCCUUAUGGGGGCUCUGGGGGGUGGGGGUGCUCUAUGGGGUGCCCUAUGGGGGCUGUGGGGGGUGGGGGUGCUCUAUGGGGUGCACUAUAGGGUGCCCUCUGGGGGCUCUGGGGGGGUGGGAGUGCCCUAUAGGGCGCCCUAUGGGGGCUCUGGGGGGUGGGGGUGCCCUAUGGGGUGCCCUAUGGGGUGCCUUAUGGGGGCUCUGGGGGGUGGGGGUGCUCUAUGGGGUGCCCUAUGGGGUGCCCUAUGGGGUGAGGGUGCUCUAUAGGGUGCCCUAUGGGGGCUCUGGGGGGUGGGGUGCCCUAUGGGGUGCCUUAUGGAUACUCUUUGGGGUGGGGGUGCGCUAUGGGGUGCCCUAUGGGGGCUCUGGGGGGUGGCAGUGCUCUUUGGGGUGCCCUAUGGGGUGCCCUAUGGGGGCUCUGGGGGGUGGGGUGCUCUAUGGGGUGCACUAUGGGGUGCCCUAUGGGGGCUCUGGGGGGUGGGGGUGCUCUAUGGGGUGCCCUAUGGGUGCUCUGGGGGGGGUGGGAAUGCCCUAUGGGGGCUCUGUGGGGUGGCGUUGCCCUAUAGGGUGCCCUAUGGGUACUCUAUGGGUGCCCUAUGGGUCCUCUAUGGGAUAUGGGUGCCCUAUGGGUGCCCUAUGGGUGCUAUAUGGGUGCUGUAUGGGAUAUGGGUGCCCUAUGGGAUCCCUAUGGGUAUCACCGCCCCCUGUCCGACCCCAAUCCCCCCCGCAGGCGCUGAGGCCAUGGCUGAGCCGUGCCCUAUGGGGUGUGGGUGCCCUAUGGGCGCCCUAUGGGUGCUGUAUGGGAUAUGGGUGCCCUAUGGGUGCCCUAUGGGUGCUGUAUGGGAUAUGGGUGCCCUAUGGGUGCUCUAUGGGGGUUGUAUGGGUACUCUAUUGGGUAUGGGUGCCCUAUGGGUGCUGUAUGGGAUAUGGGUGCCCUAUGGGUGCUGUAUGGGAUAUGGGUGCCCUAUGGGUGCCCUAUGGGUGCUGUAUGGGAUAUGGGUGCCCUAUGGGUGCCCCAUGGGUACUCUAUGGGAUAUGGAUGUCCUAUGGGUGCCCUAUGGGAGCCCUAUGGGAUAUGGAUGCCCUAUGGGUGCCCUAUGGGUAUUCUAUGGGUGCCCUAUGGGUGCUGUAUGGGAUAUGGGAGCCCUAUGAAUGCUGUAUGGGUGCUCUAUGGGAUAUGGUUGCCCUAUGGGUGCCCUAUGGUUGCCCUAUGGGUGCUCUAUGGGAUAUGGGCGCCCUAUGGGUGCCCUAGGGGUGCUCUAUGGGAUAUGGGUGCCCUAUGGGUGCUGUAUGGGAUAUGGAUGCCCUAUGGGUGCCCUAUGGGUAUUCUAUGGGUGCCCUAUGGGUGCUGUAUGGGAUAUGGGAGCCCUAUGAAUGCUGUAUGGGUGCUCUAUGGGAUAUGGUUGCCCUAUGGGUGCCCUAUGGUUGCCCUAUGGGUGCUCUAUGGGAUAUGGGAGCCCUAUGGCUGCCCUAUGGGUGCUGUAUGGGAUAUGGGUGCCCUAUGGGAUCCCUAUGGGUAUCACAGCCCCCUGACCGACCCCAAUCCCCCCCGCAGGUGCUGAGCCAUGGCUGAGCCGUGCCCUAUGGGGUGUGGGUGCCCUAUGGGUGCUCUAUGGGAUAUGGGUGCCCUAUGGGUGCCCUAUGGGUGCUGUAUGGGAUAUGGGUGCCCUAUGGGUGCCCUAUGGGUAUUCUAUGGGUGCCCUAUGGGUGCUGUAUGGGAUAUGGGAGCCCUAUGAAUGCUGUAUGGGUGCUCUAUGGGAUAUGGUUGCCCUAUGGGUGCCCUAUGGUUGCCCUAUGGGUGCUCUAUGGGAUAUGGGCGCCCUAUGGGUGCCCUAGGGGUGCUCUAUGGGAUAUGGGUGCCCUAUGGGUGCUGUAUGGGAUAUGGAUGCCCUAUGGGUGCCCUAUGGGUAUUCUAUGGGUGCCCUAUGGGUGCUGUAUGGGAUAUGGGAGCCCUAUGAAUGCUGUAUGGGUGCUCUAUGGGAUAUGGUUGCCCUAUGGGUGCCCUAUGGUUGCCCUAUGGGUGCUCUAUGGGAUAUGGGAGCCCUAUGGCUGCCCUAUGGGUGCUGUAUGGGAUAUGGGUGCCCUAUGGGAUCCCUAUGGGUAUCACAGCCCCCUGACCGACCCCAAUCCCCCCCGCAGGCGCUGAGCCAUGGCUGAGCCGUGCCCGGUUGACGUCGGUCCUCCCAGCGAUGGCGGCGAUGCCGUCGGAGGUCCCGGUGGCGCCGUGGGUGGUCCCGGUGACGCCGUGGGUGGUCCCGGUGGAGCCGUGGGUGGUCCCGGUGGCGCCGUGGGUGGUCCCGGUGGAGCCGUGGGUGGUCCCGGUGGAGCCGUGGGGGACACUCUGCCGUGGAGAAGGGGGAAACGCCACCCGCGGGCGCAGCGCGGCGCCGCCAUCAGCGGCAAUGGGAGCGUCCCCGACCCCGCCGAGAGGGCCGUCAUACGCAUCGCAGGUACUAUGGGGGGGGGAUGGGGGGGGAUGGGGGGGGGUAUAGGGGGGGGGGGAUGGGGGGGGGGGUGGGGGGGGGUUGGGGGGGGGGGUGAUGGUUGGGGGGGGUGGGGGCGCCGAUGGGGGGGGCGUGGACGGUGAUGGGGGGGGAUAUGGGGGGCGGGGGGGGUGAUGGGGGGGGAGGGGGGGUGGGGGCGCCGAUGGGGGGGGCGUGGACGGUGAUGGGGGGGAUAUGGGGAGGGGGGCGGUGGGGGGGGAGAGGGGGGCGAUGGG
rnacentral:lncRNA from 7 species